rnacentral:rRNA from 1 species
GACGAACGCUGGCGGCGUGCUUAACACAUGCAAGUCGAACGGUGAAGCGCCUUCCUUUUUGGUGGGUGUGGAUGAGUGGCGAACGGGUGAGUAACACGUGAGUAACCUGCCCCCUUCUUCUGGAUAACCGCAUGAAAGUGUGGCUAAUACGGGAUAUUCUGGGUCUGUCGCAUGAUGGGUCUGGGAAAGAUAUUGUUUCGGUGGGGGAUGGGCUCGCGGCCUAUCAGCUUGUUGGUGGGGUGAUGGCCUACCAAGGCGGUGACGGGUAGCCGGCCUGAGAGGGUGGACGGUCACACUGGGGCUGAGGCACGGCCCAGACUCGUACGGGAGGCAGCAGUGGGGAAUAUUGCACAAUGGGCGCAAGACUGAUGCAGCGACGCCGCGUGAGGGAUGGAGGCCUUCGGGUUGUGAACCUCUUUCGCCAGUGAAGCAGGCCUGCCUCGUUUGUGGGUGGGUUGACGGUAGCUGGAUAAGAAGCGCCGGCUAACUACGUG